rnacentral:ncRNA from 1 species
CUUGAGAGAACCAUGUUGAAGGAACUCGGCAAAAUGACCCCGUAACUUCGGGAGAAGGGGUGCUCUCCCUCCUAUCUUUGGGUUGGGAAAGCGGCACAUACCAGGGGGUAGCGACUGUUUAUUAAAAACACAGGACUCUGCCAAGUGGUAACAUGAUGUAUAGAGUCUGACACCUGCCCGGUGCUGGAAGGUUGGAAGGAUAAUAGGAUCUUGGCUGAAAAUUAUUUCUACGUCAGAUUUAAGUGCUGUAAAUUCACUUACUUCACCUACUGAUUCAAAUUCAAAUUGAUCCAUCACAAAGUAAAGUGGAAUAAAAUAAAGAAAAUAAAAUAAAUAAAACAAGAAUUAAAUAAAAUAGAAAAUGAAAAUAGGAAAAAAAAAAACUGAACAAUGGGAAAUGAAAGGUCACUUUUGCUGGCUUUCCCAUUACCCCCAGCUAUUCCUAUUUUUCUUGUACUUUCACUCUAAAAAAAUAUUUUUCCGAGAAUGCAAAGGAGAAACUGUGUAUAUUUAAUGGCUGCGAAGAUUUAAUGGCUAUCACGUUGGCUACUGAGGUGAGAUUUGAUUUUUCUAUGUAGUGUUGAAAUUUUCCUUAACAUUUGUAGUAGUACAUGGUUAGAUGGACAUCCCAACAGCUCUCUAUCCUCUACCCU